rnacentral:rRNA from 1 species
CGUGUAGGCGGUUUUGGGCAAGUCGAGUGUGAAAUCCCACGGCUCAACCGUGGAACUGCGCUCGAAACUGCCUUACUUGAGUGCGGGGAGAGGUGUGCGGAAUUCCUGGUGUAGCGGUGGAAUGCGUAGAUAUCAGGAAGAACACCGGUGGCGAAGGCGGCACACUGGCCCAGCACUGACGCUGAGGCGCGAAAGCGUGGGGAGCGAACG